rnacentral:rRNA from 1 species
CCAGCACCCGCGGUAAUUCCAGCUCCAAUAGCGUAUAUUAAAGUUGUUGCAGUUAAAAAGCUCGUAGUUGGACUUGUGCAUGCCUCUUAGCUGUCCACAUUGUUUGGUAAGCUGUGGGCCAUGCAUGCUUGGGUGUAUCCUGUGUGGCAUUAGGUUGUCGUGCAGGGGAUGUCCAUCAUUUACUGUGAAAAAAUUAGAGUGUUCAAAGCAGGCUUAGGCCGUUGAAUAUAUUAGCAUGGAAUAAUAACAUAGGACCUUGGUACUAUUUUGUUGGUAUGCGCACUGAGGUAAUUAUUAACAGGGACAGUUGGGGGUAUUCGAAUUCCAUUGUCAGAGGUGAAAUUCUUGGAUUUCUGGAAGACGCACUACUGCGAAAGCAUUUACCAAGGAUGUUUUCAUUAAUCAAGAACGAAAGU